rnacentral:rRNA from 1 species
GACGAACGCUGGCGGCGUGCCUAAUACAUGCAAGUCGAGCGCAGGAAACUGACGGGACUCUUCGGAGGGAAGGCAGCGGAAUGAGCGGCGGACGGGUGAGUAACACGUAAGGAACCUGCCUCAAGGAUUGGGAUAACUCCGAGAAAUCGGAGCUAAUACCGGAUAGUUCAUCGGACCGCAUGGUCCGUUGAUGAAAGGCGCUUCGGCGUCACCUUGAGAUGGCCUUGCGGUGCAUUAGCUAGUUGGCGGGGUAACGGCCCACCAAGGCGACGAUGCCUAGCCGACCGGAGAGGGUGAUCGGCCACACUGGGACUGAGACACGGCCCAGACUCCUACGGGAGGCAGCAGUAGGGAAUCUUCCACAAUGGACGAAAGUCUGAUGGAGCAACGCCGCGUGAGUGAUGAAGGUUUUCGGAUCGUAAAACUCUGUUGUAAGGGAAGAACACGUACGAGAGGAAAUGCUCGUACCUUGACGGUACCUUACGAGAAAGCCACGGCUAACUACGUGCCAGCCGCCGCGGUAA